rnacentral:lncRNA from 1 species
GUCUUUAAAUUUAAUUAAAUAUGAAAACUGUUUAACCAUUCCAAUUGAAAGGCAGAAUGAUUUCAUCAUUCCAUUUUCAGCGACGGGAAAUCCAUUUGAAAAUGAUGGUAAAACAACAUUAAUUUGGUUUAUUCCAUAUGAAAAGCAUCAGCCGAAAAGUGUUCAUCGCUUUUUUGCCCGCUCAAUUCACUGGCAAGCACUUCUUUUGAUGCAUACUUUUGUGCGCCGCUUCCGCUUAUCUUUCUCGCUGUUGGGGACGCUAUUUUGUACUCUUUUUGUUCUCUCAUAUUUCUCGGACGCCAUGCCAACCGAAGGCCUGUGUGUGGGUGGGUGUAUGGAUGGGCGGGUUGGUUGCGUCACCAGGCGGCAUGUGCACAAUCUUUAAAUAUUUAUUUCUCGCUGUUUUCGCACUCAGCAGCCGGGAGUAGCUGGCAUGCCAAUACAUUGAGCCGCUUUUCCCUUUAAACAAUCCGAAAUUUUCAUCAAUGAAAUGCCUGGGUCGACUUUUAGUUAAAUCCAAACAAACAUAACAAAGUGGCGUUGGUGUAUCUGUGCUGGCGAAAUCCCUGCUAACCGCAGCCACGAACUGGGCCAAAACUGGAGCUGGAAGACGAACAGGAGCCGGAGGAGCAGCAGCAUCAAAGAGCAAUCCUUGCGGUAAAAUAAAUUUUCUGCAUCUCAUGACAGCUCCAGCAGCACAGCUGGGUCUGAGGGGUCCAGGACUGCUGUGGGACCAAUGGAUGGGAGCGGAGCGUACGUGCCGAGAUACAAAACUUGCCAAACGGAUUAGGAAGUCGAGGGCAGGGGUUGUUCCCGCACCUCGGAGACUCUCCUGCGACGCACGCUCCAGCCUCUCAAAGGGGUUAAAAGGCAAUCAAAUUUAAUUGUUUUGCGGUUAGCCGCAAGACUACUUCAUCUUUUCCAAUCUCUCUAGGAGGAGGCGCUUCCGCUCCCUGGCCACCGAUUUACAGUUCAGAUGUCAUAGAAUUUUGAAUUUAAUUAUGUAUUUAUUUUGCUUUUGUAUUAUAUUUUAUGAUAAACGAGUGCCCAGCUGCC